UACGUAGGGGGCAAGCGUUAUCCGGAUUUACUGGGUGUAAAGGGAGCGUAGACGGCAUAGCAAGUCUGAAGUGAGAGCCCGUGGCUCAACCACGGAACUGCUUUGGAAACUGUUAAGCUGGAGUACUGGAGAGGCAAGCGGAAUUCCUAGUGUAGCGGUGAAAUGCGUAGAUAUUAGGAGGAACACCAGUGGCGAAGGCGGCUUGCUGGACAGAGACUGACGUUGAGGCUCGAAAGCGUGGGGAGCAAACAGG
rnacentral:rRNA from 1 species